UCAACAAGUCUUUCUUCUCACUUUUAAACAUUCUUCAUGCAUCUCUAGCACUUGCAAUCAAUCAAAUUCAUUGUAUUAUAACAUAUUAUAACCCAAAAUAACUUUAUCCAAUCCAUUCUUUGCCUCAAAGCAAUGAUUUUGGGUUCUUAUCCCAUUUGAGACCAAAUUUCAACAAGUCUUUCUUCUCACUUCUAAGCAUUCUUCAUGCAUCUCUAGCAGUUGUAAUCAAUCAAAUUCAUUGUAUUAUAACAUAUUCUAACCCAAAAGAACUUUAUACAAGCCAUUAUUUGCCUCAAAGCAAUGGUUUUGGGUUCUUAUCCCAUUUGAGACCAAAUAUCAACAAGUCUUUCUUCUCACUUCUAAACAUUCUUCAUGCAUCUCUAGCUGUUGUAAUCAAUCAAAUUCAUUGUAUUAUAACAUAUUCUAAUCCAAAAUAACUUUAUACAAGCCAUUCAUUGCCUCAAAGCAAUGGUUUUGGGUUCUUAUCCCAUUUGAGACCAAAUUUCAACAAGUCUUUCUUCUCACUUCUAAACAUUCUUCAUGCAUCUCUAGCACUGUAAUCAAUCAAAUUCAUUGUAUUAUAACAUAUUCUAACCCAAAAUAACUUUAUACAAGCCAUUCUUUGCCUCAAAGCAAUGGUUUUGGGUUCUUACCCCAUUUGAGACCAAAUUUCAACAAGUCUUUCUUCUCACUUCUAAACAUUCUUCAUGCAUCUCUAGCACUUGUAAUCAAUCAAAUUCAUUGUAUUAUAACAUACUCUAACCUAAAAUAACUUUAUACAAGUCCUUCAUUGCCUCAAAGCAAUGGUUUUGGGUUCUUAUCCUAUUUGGGACCAAAUAUCAACAAGUCUUUCUUCUCACUUCUAAACAUUCCAAAUUCAUUUUAUUAUAACAUAUUCUAACCCAAAAUAACUUUAUACAAGCCAUUCACUGCCUCAAAGCAAUGGUUUUGGGUUCUUAUCCCAUUUGAGACCAAAUUUCAACAAGUCUUUCUUCUCACUUCUUAGCAUUCUUCAUGCAUCUCUAGCACUUGUAAUCAAUCAAAUUCAUUGUAUUUUAACAUAUUCUAACUUAAAAUAACUUUAUACAAGCCAUUCAUUGCCUCAAAGCAAUGGUUUUGGGUUCUUAUCUCAUUUGGGACCAAAUAUCAACAAGUCUUUCUUCUCACUUCUUAGCAUUCUUCAUGCAUCUCUAGCACUUGUAAUCAAUCAAAUUUAUUGUAUUAUAACAUAUUCUAACCCAAAAUAACUUAUACAAGCCAUUCACUGC
rnacentral:lncRNA from 1 species